rnacentral:rRNA from 1 species
UACGGAGGGUGCAAGCGUUGCUCGGAAUUAUUGGGCGUAAAGGGUAGGUAGGUGGUCUCAUUUGUCUUAGGUGAAAUCCUUGGGCUUAACCCAAGAAGUGCCUCAGAAACGGUGAGACUAGAGUCCUGGAGAGGGUCGUGGAAUUCCGGGUGUAGUGGUGGAAUGCGUAGAGAUCCGGAGGAACACCAGCGGCGAAGGCGGCGUCCUGGACUGGUACUGACGCUCAGGAGCGAAAGCGUGGGGAGCGAUCCGGA